rnacentral:rRNA from 1 species
UACAGAGGUCUCAAGCGUUGUUCGGAUUCAUUGGGCGUAAAGGGCGCGUAGGCGGCCUGACAAGUGGAAGGUGAAAUCCCUCGGCUCAACUGAGGAACUGCCCUCCAAACUGUUUGGCUUGAGACCGGGAGAGGUGAGUGGAAUUCCCAGUGUAGCGGUGAAAUGCGUAGAUAUUGGGAGGAACACCAGUGGCGAAGGCGGCUCACUGGACCGGUACUGACGCUGAGGCGCGAAAGCGUGGGGAGCAAACGGG